GCUCAGAACGAACGCUGGCGGCAUGCCUAACACAUGCAAGUCGAACGAGUGCCUUCGGGUGCUAGUGGCGCACGGGUGCGUAACGCGUGGGAAUCUGCCCUUUGGUUCGGAAUAACAGCUGGAAACGGCUGCUAAUACCGGAUGAUGACGAAAGUCCAAAGAUUUAUCGCCAGAGGAUGAGCCCGCGUUGGAUUAGGUAGUUGGUGGGGUAAAGGCCUACCAAGCCGACGAUCCAUAGCUGGUCUGAGAGGAUGAUCAGCCACACUGGGACUGAGACACGGCCCAGACUCCUACGGGAGGCAGCAGUGGGGAAUAUUGGACAAUGGGCGCAAGCCUGAUCCAGCAAUGCCGCGUGAGUGAUGAAGGCCCUAGGGUUGUAAAGCUCUUUUACCCGGGAAGAUAAUGACUGUACCGGGAGAAUAAGCCCCGGCUAACUCCGUGCCAGCAGCCGCGGUAAUACGGAGGGGGCUAGCGUUGUUCGGAAUUACUGGGCGUAAAGCGCACGUAGGCGGCUUUGUAAGUCAGAGGUGAAAGCCUGGAGCUCAACUCCAGAACUGCCUUUGAGACUGCAUCGCUUGAAUCCAGGAGAGGUCAGUGGAAUUCCGAGUGUAGAGGUGAAAUUCGUAGAUAUUCGGAAGAACACCAGUGGCGAAGGCGGCUGACUGGACUGGUAUGACGCUGAGG
rnacentral:rRNA from 1 species